GUUCGCAGGUCCGCAAGAGAAUGUGCCGCAGAGAUGAUGCGGACCUGCGAACCACCACACGAGCCGGGGGGAUUACCAUGUUGAGAUUGCCGCGUGCGGUCGCACAGUUUGCGACCGCGGUUGCUGCUGUGAGCAUCGCUGUCACGUCUGCGACGCNNNNGAUCGAUGCCGCCGAUACCGCGUGGAUGAUCACGGCGACCGCGCUCGUCCUGAUGAUGACGAUCCCGGGUCUCGCGCUGUUCUAUGCCGGCAUGGUGCGCAAGAAGAACGUGCUGGCGAC
rnacentral:misc_RNA from 1 species